CUGACAACCGGCCUGGCUGUAAAGAAACCCUCCCCUUCCUGUGUCCAGCAGCGCUCCAUGAGGGCCGCCUGGGGAGGGAUGGAAGGCCAUCAUUGACAACGAGCCUGGGAGACCAAGGGACACAAGAUCUCAGCAUGUGCACAGCGGCCUGGGCAGAAGGAACACACUCAAAGCUGCCAGAAGGUGCCAGAACAGCAUCUAUGUUCAGGGGCUCCAGAUAUUAUGGAAGUGGCCUGGAAACUACUUGUUUAUUGAUCUUGAGGAUCCAAGGAUUCAAAGAAACAGAGGAAAUUCAAUCAAGAAUCCACCUUGGAGCAUCUAGAGGUCAUUUGGGUGACUAGCUCUAUGGUCCCUCAGAUGUCAGCAGAGACCCCCGCAGACGUGGCCGCCUCCUCCUCUCGCAAACUGUAACCCAAGCCGGUGUCGGUAUGUUUAUUUCUCCCCAGGUCUCGUUCUCCCCUGGGGUGAGAGUCCCCAGAAGGGGGGUGCUGUGCGGCACCCACAUUCUCUUUUAUUUGCCUUGGUACCUGUUGGCAGUACUUAAUAGUGACAUCCAUCGGGAGAGCUGGUGCACCACAUACACACACAUGCUUAAAGGAGGUGAGCGCAGCAGUCACUGCCAGGAGAAGCGAUCGAGGUAGAACUUCUGUGUCCUCCACCAGGGGUCAGUACGACUUUUAUGAGACUCCCAGCAUGACGUCCCGGUGUAGAAGAGGGUAAUUUCUUUGUCACCAUUUGUCCCUCAGAAAACAGCAACAAGGAGUUUCUGAUAGAAUUGCAGACUCUAGGAUCGCAUCCUGGAUCGAGUGAAUCCGACACUCUGGAGCUGGGACCCAGCACUCUGUCUAAACCAUCUGGUGACGUGACCCCUGCUGACAUUUGAGAGCCACUGCUGUCAUUCUUCUAACUCAUUCCUGCCUCAGGACCUUUGAACUCGAGAGACCCUAGGCCUGGAGCACUCCUCAAGGUCUUUCCUCAUCAGCCCUGUCAGCUGAACUGUUAGCUCACCUCAGAAGCCACCGCUGACUUCUCCUGUCUGCCUCCCUAGUCUUCCUCACCCCAAUCUGUGGCCUUGUCUCUGGAAUUUCUCCACAGUGAUCAGAGAUUACCUUGUUCAUUUAUUCACUUGCUAUUUUAUUAUCUGACUCCCCCAUUUGAAUGAUAGCAGAAACCGCCCCUCUUUGGUACCACUCAGCCCCGUACCUGUGCCCAGCACAUAGUAGGUUCUUAAUAAAAACUU